rnacentral:rRNA from 1 species
GACGAACGCUGGCGGCGUGCUUAACACAUGCAAGUCGAACGGAGUGGCGAACGGGUGAGUAACACGUGGGUGAUCUGCCUUUCACUUUGGGAUAAGCUUGGGAAACUGGGUCUAAUACCGGAUAGUGCAAGAUGAGCUCGCGGCCUAUCAGCUGGUUGGUGGGGUAUGGGCCUACCAAGGCGUCGACGGGUAGCCGGCCUGGGAGGGGGUACGGCCACAUGGGGCCUGAGGUACGGCCCAGACUCCUACGGGAGGCAGCAGGGGAGAAUAUUGCAGAAUGGGCGGAAGCCUGAUGCAGCGACGCCGCGUGGGGGAUGAAGGACUUCGGGUUGUAAACUCCUUUCGACAGGGACGCGGUACCUGUAUAAGAAGCACCGGCUAACUACGUGCCAGCCGCCGCGGUAAUAC